GGAGUCUGGGGUUUGUCCAGAAGAGCUGGAAGCAAGAUAUCAAUCGAAAAAGAAAAUAUUUCUAUCUAUAUUGGUGGAGUCAUUCUGUGUUAGUAACAGCUCCCAACUGAUAACAUCGAAUUAGCAUGGCGGGCGAGAGUCGGAUUUAAAAUGCAGAAGUGCUCAAGUCAGGCUACCUGAGAGGAAAUCUGUUACCCGGGUCUUGGUUUCCUGGCCGCUCUGCAACUCCUUGUUUGAUGGCUGCACUUCAUCAACCGUGUUGGAAGUACUGCAGCCCAUGAUGAGACUGUAACCAGUCUACUCCUCUUGCUUGCCUGAAGCUCCAGAAGGUGAUUCAGGCAGACGGCUGUGCCCAGAAAUGGAUCCAGGAUUUUACAAAGUGGGUGAAGUUGCAGCUCCUGGUGCUGUAAGAGUGGCUGCAUCCCCCGCUUCCAGCUUCCUCCCCCUGCUUCCCACAUGCUGGGACAGGCAGCCGAAGACUUAAGUCCCAAGAAAGAACUGCUCACCUGUGCAGCUAUCUUCCCCUUGUUCCUUCAGAACCAACUUCUUCUGAUGCAGAUUUCAGCCUGCCAGUGCCCAAAUGCCGGACUCAGAAUAAGAGAGAUUGUAUGCCUGAUAUGAAAGGGACUCAGGCCUUCAGGAUCUUGCUUGUAACUGGAGGCAUAACUCAGAAGGGCUCUGAAGUGGACUGUGGUCUGCAUUUGAGAUAGGAAAGAAGAACCAGUGGAUCCAUGUGAAGCAAGACCUUGAAAAGCUUUAUUAGGACCAGAUUCACUGAAAAUAUUAACCAGCAUCUAUGGAACCAUGAAAGCCCAUGCAGACUUCAAAAUCCAAAUAAUUCAGGGCUUUUGUGGCCCUCCAUGUUACAGAAGAUGGGCAGAAAAUUUUUAAAUUGAAUCUGGCACUAAAUAAGCAAAAGAAUUGUGUAAUCAGUGCUUGGUUUAAUAGGAAGCCAGGGAAGCUCUUUAAUAUUAGAAUGAUACGAUGGGAAAGUAUCGUCCUGGAUAAAGUCCUGGCAGCUGAGCCUGGCAGAAAUUUGCCUGCAAGCAAAACUAGCGGGGAGUCCAGAAAACAGGGUAUUGUACUAAUUAACCUGGACAAAACAAGAAUAAUUACCAGAAUCUCAACAUCUUGUCAGAAAAACAUAUAGUAUACCUCAGUCUGCAAAUGCUGUGAGAAUGCCUAAUGCAGUAUCUUAACACUAACACACACACUCAUGCACAUCUCUCCAUCCUCCAACACUCUCCUCUUUACUCAGAGGGGCAGCCUAUUAAGAAGCCCUUGAAACUGAUUUUUUUCCUUAUUUGAUUCCUGUUUUUCAGAGCCCCUGCAUUGUGCCAGUACACAGUUCCAGAAAUCCUCAAUACCCUUCCAGGUGUAAGCUACCAGUGGAGGUUACUAGAAAGUAGUAGAGGUACCUCUGUUUCCUGUUGGACUGAUAACCUGGCUUUAAGCAGGGAUCCUGGAAUAGUUGUGCCAAAAGAUUAAAAACUUAGGGCUGGUGUGCACAAGUCACUGGGGCCAGAACCAUUAAUUAUAUGAUCAUUGUAUAAGGACCUGCACUCAAAAGUGACUCCAUCACUAUGAACACAGAAACCUAAAGGAGCCGUGGGACAAGGCAGGCAAUCCAUCAGGCAGGAGUCUCAAGUACUCUCACACACAACAUUUUUAUGCAACAUGGAAUGUUUCUUCUUUUGUAUGAUAAAAAUCCUUUCCGUAUUUUA